AUUGAACGCUGGCGGCAUGCCUUACACAUGCAAGUCGAACGGCAGCACGGGAGCAAUCCUGGUGGCGAGUGGCGAACGGGUGAGUAAAGUAUCGGAACGUGCCCAGUCGUGGGGGAUAACGUAGCGAAGGUUACGCUAAUACCGCAUACGAUCUAUGGAUGAAAGCGGGGGAUCGCAAGACCUCGCGCGAUUGGAGCGGCCGAUAUCAGAUUAGGUAGUUGGUGGGGUAAAGGCUCACCAAGCCGACGAUCUGUAGCUGGUCUGAGAGGACGACCAGCCACACUGGGACUGGGACACGGCCCAGACUCCUACGGGAGGCAGCAGUGGGGAAUUUUGGACAAUGGGCGAAAGCCUGAUCCAGCCAUGCCGCGUGCAGGAUGAAGGCCUUCGGGUUGUAAACUGCUUUUGUACGGAACGAAAAGGUUUGGGCUAAUAAGCUGAGCUCAUGACGGUACCGUAAGAAUAAGCACCGGCUAACUACGUGCCAGCAGCCGCCGUAA
rnacentral:rRNA from 1 species